GGGGAGGGCCGUGGUUAGGAAUUCCACAUGUAAAUUUUAGGGGGACACAAUUCUGCCCAUCACAGGGAUAUGAGCUGAAAGAAUAUCUUGGCCAAAUUAUUCCAUCCCACCAGCAUCAGGAGAAGGGAACCAAACUGUAUCAGAGAGCUCCACAGGAAACCCAGUGUGGGAGUAAGGAGGCAUUUCCCCACCAGCUCUGCAGUGAAGCAGAUCUCCCUGGAUGCUCUCCCCGUAGCAGCACAGCCCACGGCAGCCAGGACUGCAGGGUAAGUGGAAAUCCAGGACCCCAAAGCCGGGCUGCCAGCUCCUCAUCUAGACCUCUGUUCCUGCCUCUCAGCUACCCUUCCCUCCUGCCUGGGAGCCAUGGAUAAAAACAACUACCUGCUCUGUCUGGAAACCAACACCAGAGGCUGCAUCUUAUUUGCAUUUCCUUCUCUUCCUCCGCCCUCUCAGAUCUGAGUCCAGAAUGACAUACCUGUAUGAGGAAGAUCACAGCUUGGCAUCAACUUUAGAGACAGAAUAGGAAAUGUCCUUGAAAGAAUUACAGGUAGACAGAGAAUCAUUUGAAAGAAAACCUUCUUGGCUGCAGAUUGCACACAUAUUUUUGAACAUCUCAGAGUAAAAAGGAAUGGUUCAAGUCACUUGUCAAAUCUAAGCGGAUGCAAAAUUUAUAUAUGUGUGCCCACCUGCCUCCCCCACCACCGGAGUGUAAAGCUCUCCCUUGGAAGAAUGUCAAUAGUGACAACGAGGUCAAUCUAUGCAGCUGUGGUGUAAAUCUUCCCUGAAAUCAACUGCACGGAUGUGUUCGUCCUCCCUGGGGGCCUGCGACCGAAUAAUGCAGGCUGUGUGACUGUGUCCCUGACUGGCUCCCUGCCCCCCACCCCCUCUCGGUGCAAACCCGUCCGGCAAGCUGCCGUGUCGCUGGCAUCCUCCAGGGGCUUAACCAGCAAUAAGCCGUCUCCGCAGAGAAGGACAUGUGACGGCUUCGAGCUCCAUCAUGUGACGUGCACUGGGCGUGAAGAGCAGUUGCUUCUCCUUGGCUUUGGAGACCCUCCCUAUUCGGUCACAAUCCUGCCUUCCAAAGACCCCUUCCCUCCACCAGUGUACCUGAGCCACCCCACCCCCUUCCAGCUUCCCAGACCCGCUGCGACCUCCUGCUGUAAACUUCCCUGUGAUCUGAACCUCUUCUUCCCAGCCCUCUUCCCCAUCCUUCAGUGCGUCUUCCUCACUGGUUAACUGAAGUGUCUGGCAGAUAGGGGCUUCGAAAAUGUUCGCUCACUGAAGGAGAGACGGCUUUAGCAGCCCAGUCUUUGAGUGUUUCAUUUAGCUGUUUGCUCAACACGGCAGGAUGGUUCCAGGCCAAGCCUCGGCCACCGUUGUUUUCUCUACCUGGGAUGCCCUUACCUCUGCGCCACAAUCCACAUCCUAUUUACCCUUCCUACUGGGCUCAUUCUCCUCUCCAAGGCCACCCCUCUUGCCUAACCCAUCAGAUCCAGUGGGAGUUUUCCCCUUUUUUUUUUUUUUAAAGAUUUUAUUUAUUUAUU